GACGAACGCUGGCGGCGUGCUUAACACAUGCAAGUCGAACGGAAAGGCCCUGCUUUUGUGGGGUGCUCGAGUGGCGAACGGGUGAGUAACACGUGAGUAACCUGCCCUUGACUUUGGGAUAACUUCAGGAAACUGGGGCUAAUACCGGAUAGGAGCUCCUGCUGCAUGGUGGGGGUUGGAAAGUUUCGGCGGUUGGGGAUGGACUCGCGGCUUAUCAGCUUGUUGGUGGGGUAGUGGCUUACCAAGGCUUUGACGGGUAGCCGGCCUGAGAGGGUGACCGGCCACAUGGGGACUGAGAUACGGCCCAGACUCCUACGGGAGGCAGCAGUGGGGAAUAUUGCACAAUGGGCGGAAGCCUGAGGCAGCAACGCCGCGUGCGGGAUGACGGCUUUCGGGUUGUAAACCGCUUUCGCCUGUGACGAAGCGUGAGUGACGGUAAUGGGUAAAGAAGCACCGGCUAACUACGUG
rnacentral:rRNA from 1 species